rnacentral:rRNA from 1 species
AGCAGUAGCCGCGGUAAAACGGAGGGUGCAAGCGUUAAUCGGAAUUACUGGGCGUAAAGCGCACGCAGGCGGUCUGACAAGUCAGAUGUGAAAUCCCCGGGCUUAACCUGGGAACUGCAUUUGAAACUGUCAGGCUGGAGUCUUGUAGAGGGGGGUGGAAUUCCAGGUGUAGCGGUGAAAUGCGUAGAGAUCUGGAGGAAUACCGGUGGCGAAGGCGGCCCCCUGGACAAAGACUGACGCUCAGGUGCGAAAGCGUGGGGAGCAAACAGGAUUAGAUACCCGUGUAGUCCCUGUCUCUUAUAC